UGCACUGUACAAAAUUGCUUUAUGAUCUAUUUGAAUUAAAUUAUUUUAGAUUGAUUUUGGAAAUGUUUAUUUUUUUUCCUAGUCUAAAUAAUAAAGUUUCAAGGUGUAUUUAAGUUUAUAUUUCAUACCAAUUAUAUUUCUAAGUGAAUUACUAUUAACUUAAUUACAAAGAUUUUUAAAAUACUUUUUACAGGUCUUUCUAUAAGAAUCUAUUAUUUUUUCAGUGUGCAGAGGAUGGUGGACUUCCACUGUAUGACAUUGAGGAGCUGAAGAACAUUGAAAUGCAGUUGUGAAAUGUUGACUUUAAGAACAAACUGGUUUCCAAACUGUCACUGGCUGGGGUCAAACACUAAAGAAAACAGUCUGGAAGAUCUGUGGAAAGGUGUUUGCUCCCCAGUUGGCAGUUCAUUUAAACUGGUGUGGCAGAGGGGACAAAACACCGAUGAGGAAUACAAACAUCAUAGAUGUGAUUAUCCAGUCUGCAUUACGAAACCCACUGGUGUCUAGUCCAAAUGAGGCUGAAGCUGAAACGACCAUCAAAGAAUGGCUCGUGACAGGCUGACCAGGCCUGUCCGAUAGCUCUUUUUCUUCAGUUUUUUAAUUUUUCUGUAUUUUUUAUUUUUGUAAC